AUUGAACGCUGGCGGCAUGCCUUACACAUGCAAGUCGAACGGCAGCGGGGGAGAAGCUUGCUUUUCCUGCCGGCGAGUGGCGAACGGGUGAGUAAUACAUCGGAACGUGCCCUGUAGUGGGGGAUAACUAGUCGAAAGAUUAGCUAAUACCGCAUACGACCUGAGGGUGAAAGUGGGGGACCGCAAGGCCUCAUGCUAUAGGAGCGGCCGAUGUCUGAUUAGCUAGUUGGUGGGGUAAAGGCCUACCAAGGCGACGAUCAGUAGGUGGUCUGAGAGGCCGAUCAGCCACACUGAGACUGGGACACGGCCCAGACUCCUACGGGAGUCAGCAGUGGGGAAUUUUGGACAAUGGGCGAAAGCCUGAUCCAGCAAUGCCGCGUGUGUGAAGAAGGCCUUCGGGUUGUAAAGCACUUUUGUCCGGAAAGAAAUGGCUCUGGUUAAUACCUGGGGUCGAUGACGGUACCGGAAGAAUAAGGACCGGCUAACUACGUGCCAGCAGCCGCGGUAA
rnacentral:rRNA from 1 species